rnacentral:rRNA from 1 species
AUACGGAGGAUCCGAGCGUUAUCCGGAUUUAUUGGGUUUAAAGGGUGCGUAGGCGGCCUUUUAAGUCAGCGGUGAAAGUCUGUGGCUCAACCAUAGAAUUGCCGUUGAAACUGGGAGGCUUGAGUAUGUUUGAGGCAGGCGGAAUGCGGGGGGUAGCGGUGAAAUGCUUAGAUAUCAAGCAGAACCCCGAUUGCGAAGGCAGCCUGCCAAGCCAUGACUGACGCUGAUGCACGAAAGCGUGGGGAUCAAACAGGAUUAGAUACCCUGGUAGUCCACGCAGUAAACGAUGAUCACUAGCUGUUUGCGAUACAGUGUAAGCGGCACAGCGAAAGCGUUAAGUGAUCCACCUGGGGAGUACGCCGGCAACGGUGAAACUCAAAGGAAUUGACGGGG